GGAAGAGCCUCAUACACCCCCAGAACAGACUGUUUUCCCGAGCUGGACUUUUGAAGAAACAAGUUAGUGCUUCCUGAAGCUGUGUUUAACUGGCACAUGCCUGGACAGUGUUUCUGGGAAAAAGAAAGGAUUCUCAAUACUGAAACUGGAGAAGACUCCAUAUAGAAGCAGACAACCACCUGGAAACAGUCAUAACAGCAGCAACAACAAAUCAAUUU